AGAGAUUUAGGUUAAUAUAACAGACCCAAAGCCUUCAAAACUUUAAAUAAAAGUGAAAAUCUUUUAAUUUCUA
rnacentral:tRNA from 1 species